ACCACUGAGCCACCUUCCCAGCCCUGAAAUUAUUUUUUCAGAGUACAACUUUAGAAACUAUUUAAGAAGGGCUGGGAAGGUGGCUCAGUGGU
rnacentral:pre_miRNA from 1 species